UACGGGGGGGGCAAGCGUUGUUCGGAAUUACUGGGCGUAAAGGGCUCGUAGGCGGCCAACUAAGUCGGACGUGAAAUCCCCAGGCUCAACCUGGGAACUGCGUCUGAUACUGGAUGGCUUGAAUCCGGGAGAGGGAUGCAGAAUUCCAGGUGUAGCGGUGAAAUGCGUAGAUAUCUGGAGGAACACCGGUGGCGAAGGCGGCAUCCUGGACCAAUACUGACGCUGAGGAGCGAAAGCCAGGGGAGCAAACGGG
rnacentral:rRNA from 1 species